rnacentral:rRNA from 1 species
AGUGAACGCUGGCGGUAGGCCUAACACAUGCAAGUCGAACGGCAGCACAGUAAGAGCUUGCUCUUACGGGUGGCGAGUGGCGGACGGGUGAGGAAUACAUCGGAAUCUACUUUUUCGUGGGGGAUAACGUAGGGAAACUUACGCUAAUACCGCAUACGACCUACGGGUGAAGGCAGGGGAUCUUCGGACCUUGCGCGAUUGAAUGAGCCGAUGUCGGAUUAGCUAGUUGGCGGGGUAAAGGCCCACCAAGGCGACGAUCCGUAGCUGGUCUGAGAGGAUGAUCAGCCACACUGGAACUGAGACACGGUCCAGACUCCUACGGGAGGCAGCAGUGGGGAAUAUUGGACAAUGGGCGCAAGCCUGAUCCAGCCAUACCGCGUGGGUGACGAAGGCCUUCGGGUUGUAAAGCCCUUUUGUUGGGAAAGAAAAGCAGCAGGUUAAUACCCCGCUGUUCUGACGGUACCCAAAGAAUAAGCACCGGCUAACUUCGUG